rnacentral:tRNA from 1 species
GGAGAGAUGGCUGAGUCUGGCUGAAAGCGCUCGACUCGAAAUCGAGUAGGCGGGCCAAAAACCUGCCUCGUGGGUUCAAAUCCCACUCUCUCCGCCA